CUGAAAGGCUUGAGUAGGACCCCCACCUCCAGCUCUGCCACAUGCAAUACUCAUAGCUUUUCUCCAGGACCAGCCUCCAUGACUUUAAAUGCAGUGUUCCUCAUCACACAUAUGAGCUAAGUUACAGGUGAUGUGACCAACAUCGAGAGAAAUCAAUGUCUCUGGUAUCACUGUAGACAGCUGGGCUUCAGUCCAGAGCUUGCCCAACCUCAGCAUCAUUGUCUGGGCUACUACACUGUCCACUGGGAUAUUGAUAAAUGACCAGGAACAGGAUCCCUUUCUGCCUGUCUAGAAGUUUGAAUCUAGUUGAGGAGACUACGUGUGUCAAAUACCUUCAGGGGCCUGUGUGCAGAAUGAAGUCAAGGACGCACCGCAGACUAAGUACUGCUGUUGCCUCCACUGUGAUUCUCCAGACCAAGUCAUUGUAUGUCAAUACACAAUAGGUGGCUUACUGCAACCUCCAACAGUCCCCUGGGGGACCUUCUGUCCUAGCCCAGCAGGUGACUCACCACCAAGGAGGAGUAGUGGAACAAUUCCUGACUUUGCAGUCUUUUUGCAGUCUUGUGAAUGAGAAACCUCUGAACACGGACAAGCCAAAGAGCACCUAUGAAUAAAGCGGCCUAGCAAAGAUUAAGAGCAA